CCUACGGGAGGCAGCAGUGGGGAAUCUUGGACAAUGGGCGAAAGCCUGAUCCAGCGACGCCGCGUGGGUGAUGAAGGCCUUCGGGUUGUAAAGCCCUGUUGAGGGGAAAGCGGUACCCCUCCAGAAAGCACCGGCUAACUCUGUGCCAGCAGCCGCGGUAAGACAGAGGGUGCAAACGUUGCUCGGAAUUACUGGGCGUAAAGCGCGUGUAGGCGGGCCGACAAGUCAGAUGUGAAAUCCCUGGGCUCAACCCAGGAACUGCAUUUGAAACUGUCGGCCUUGAGUGGUGGAGAGGGAAGCGGAAUUCCUGGUGUAGAGGUGAAAUUCGUAGAUAUCAGGAGGAACACCGGUGGCGAAGGCGACUUCCUGGACACCACUGACGCUGAGACGCGAAAGCGUGGGGAGCAAACAGGAUUAGAUACCCUUGUAGUC
rnacentral:rRNA from 1 species